rnacentral:ncRNA from 1 species
AUUCAUCUUCGGGGCAGGGUGAAAUUCCCGACCGGCGGUGAUAAAAGCUUUUAAGCUUUUUUAGCCCGUGACCCGUAAAGGUGUUUUUCCUUUACGGUGGAUCUGGUGAGAAUCCAGAGCCGACAGUAUAGUCUGGAUGGGAGAAGAUGAGG